AGUGAACGCUGGCGGUAGGCCUAACACAUGCAAGUCGAACGGCAGCACAGUAAGAGCUUGCUCUUACGGGUGGCGAGUGGCGGACGGGUGAGGAAUACAUCGGAAUCUACUUUUUCGUGGGGGAUAACGUAGGGAAACUUACGCUAAUACCGCAUACGACCUACGGGUGAAAGCAGGGGAUCUUCGGACCCUGCGCGAUUGAAUGAGCCGAUGUCGGAUUAGCUAGUUGGCGGGGUAAAGGCCCACCAAGGCGACGAUCCGUAGCUGGUCUGAGAGGAUGAUCAGCCGCACUGGAACGGAGACACGGUCCAGACUCCUACGGGAGGCAGCAGUGGGGAAUAUUGGACAAUAGGCGCAAGCCUGAUCCAGCCAUACCGCGUGGGUGAAGAAGGCCUUCGGGAUGUAAAGCCCUUUUGUUGGGAAAGAAAAGCAGCAGGUUAAUACCCCGCUGUUCUGACGGUACCCAAAGAAUAAGCACCGGCCAACUUCGUG
rnacentral:rRNA from 1 species